UACAGAAUUGAAGUCCAAUUAACAAUAAUACGGUAAAUUAUGCAAUCUAUGAAAUAUUCAUAAUUAAUUACGGGUUACUAAUGGAGGCAGAACCGGAAACCAUUCAUUGCUGAUUCUGUUGAUUUAUUUUACGGUUUAAAUGUAUGAUAGUAUUUGAUUGAUCGAUUUUAUAUUCUUGAAUGCAUGUAUUGUUUGUUUUAUGGUUUACGGUUGAAUUGG
rnacentral:lncRNA from 1 species